rnacentral:rRNA from 1 species
AGCGAACGCUGGCGGCAGGCCUAACACAUGCAAGUCGAACGAAGUCUUCGGACUUAGUGGCGGACGGGUGAGUAACACGUGGGAACGUACCUUUUGGUUCGGAACAACUCAGGGAAACUUGAGCUAAUACCGGAUGAGCCCUUAGGGGGAAAGAUUUAUCGCCGAAAGAGCGGCCCGCGUUAGAUUAGCUAGUUGGUGAGGUAAAGGCUCACCAAGGCUACGAUCUAUAGCUGGUCUGAGAGGAUGAUCAGCCACACUGGGACUGAGACACGGCCCAGACUCCUACGGGAGGCAGCAGUAGGGAAUCUUGCGCAAUGGGCGAAAGCCUGACGCAGCCAUGCCGCGUGAAUGAUGAAGGUCUUAGGAUUGUAAAAUUCUUUUACCAGGGACGAUAACGACGGUACCUGGAGAAAAAGCCCCGGCUAACUUCGUGCCAGCCGCCGCAGUAACAC